rnacentral:rRNA from 1 species
UACGGAGGGUGCAAGCGUUAUCCGGAUUCACUGGGUUUAAAGGGUGUGUAGGCGGGUAUUUAAGUCAGUGGUGAAAUCUCCAGGCUCAGCCUGGAAACUGCCAUUGAUACUAUUUAUCUUGAAUAUCGUUGAGGUUGGCGGAAUAUAUCAUGUAGUGGUGAAAUGCAUAGAUAUGAUAUAGAACACCGAUUGCGAAGGCAGCUAACUAAGCGAUUAUUGACGCUGAGGCACGAAAGCGUGGGGAUCAAACAGG